rnacentral:rRNA from 1 species
CCCUCUUUUUAUUUUUUGUCCUUUCUUGUGUUUCCUUGAUUCUCUUUUACUAAUUAGGUGGUGGGCCUUCCGUAAGGGUGACCUGCGGAAGGAUCAUUGAAUUAUUAAAACCACAAUGUGAACCUUAUUGUUCCGUGCCUUUGCUGCCGGCAAGGCAAUCAGCUUUGCCUGAUUGUACUUGCAAGCUGGUGCGAGUUUUAUACUUGCAUCAGUGGCGCUCUGGCAUGCUUAUACACCAGUGCUAACCACUGUCAAAACCAAACUCUGAAGCUUUGAUUGCUAUUAAUUGGCAAUCUUAACCAAAGACAACUCUCAACAACGGAUAUCUUGGCUCUCGCAACGAUGAAGAACGCAGCGAAAUGCGAUACGUAGUGUGAAUUGCAGAAUUCCGUGAACCAUCGAAUCUUUGAACGCAUAUUGCGCUCGAGCCCUCGGGCAAGAGCAUGUCUGCCUCAGCGUCGGUUUAUAACCUCACCCCUCUCUCCUUUUGGAGAGCUGGUUAGCUUCUAGCUGGCCUUAGGAGUGGAUCUGGCUUUCCCAUUUGGUUUAUUCUGAAUGGGUUGGCUGAAGCUUAGAGGCUUAAGCAAGGACCCGAUAUGGGCUUCAACUGGAUAGGUAGCACCGGCUUCUGCCGACUACACGAAGUUGUGGCUUGUGGACUUUGCUAGAGGCCAAGCAGGAAACAUGCUUUGCAUGUCUUAAACUUUCGACCUGAGCUCAGGCAAGGCUACCCGCUGAACUUAAGCAUAUCAAUAACCGGGAGGAACUUAUCCUUUUUCCUUUCCAUUUCUCCCCUUCUCCCCCUUUCUUCCCCUCCCCUUCCCCCCUUCUUUCUGC